rnacentral:lncRNA from 1 species
AGAGCAAUGGACCUGACAUCUAGGAUGGCCAUUUGAGGAUUUGAUUUAAGAAAUAAAAUUAUAGUGUUCUAAGAAGCCACAACUCCAUUGGUUGGAAAGAGACUAUAUAACAGAAUGCAGAGACAAAGGUUAGAUAAUAUUCCACAUUAAAGAAAUUGUUUGAGUACUGCUAAAAACAAGAUCCACAAUGCUCAGACAAGACAACCAAGAAAGCGUUUUUUAUGAAAGAAGAAUGACUGGCUUCUUUGUAUGUAUGCACAUCCUUAGAGUUUCAGGAAACCGUCCUUCUACUUAUCUUCAUAAUAACCUCACAAAUAGAGCACAUUCUAAAUUUCAAUUAUCUUUUUAAAUGUUGAAAGUGAUUUUAAAUGAUA